rnacentral:rRNA from 1 species
UAGGGAAUCUUCCACAAUGGACGCAAGUCUGAUGGAGCAACGCCGCGUGAGUGAAGAAGGUUUUCGGAUCGUAAAGCUCUGUUGUUGGUGAAGAAGGAUAGAGGUAGUAACUGGCCUUUAUUUGACGGUAAUCAACCAGAAAGUCACGGCUAACUACGUGCCAGCAGCCGCGGUAAUACGUAGGUGGCAAGCGUUGUCCGGAUUUAUUGGGCGUAAAGCGAGCGCAGGCGGAAGAAUAAGUCUGAUGUGAAAGCCCUCGGCUUAACCGAGGAACUGCAUCGGAAACUGUUUUUCUUGAGUGCAGAAGAGGAGAGUGGAAUUCCAUGUGUAGCGGUGGAAUGCGUAGAUAUAUGGAAGAACACCAGUGGCGAAGGCGACUCUCUGGUCUGCAACUGACGCUGAGGCUCGAAAGCAUGGGUAGCGAACAG